GGUGAACUUUGACAACUAUGAAGCAGUUCUAUCUUUUGUGCUGGUGAACAACAACCACUGGAAGUUGCUGUACAUCAAUACAAAUGCCAGCACAGUAUUCCUAAUGGAUCCUGCACAACUGUCAUCAGAGCUCGAGGACUCCAAAAAUGCAGCUAAAAGAAUACAGGAAUACUUCAAGAUGAGAAGGACAUGCCAUGGGAAAACAGAUUGGGUUGGGAUCCGAUGGAAAGGGGGGGCUAUGAGACACCCCAUUCAACAAGAUGGAAGCAGCUG